rnacentral:misc_RNA from 1 species
UUUCCGUAGGUGAACCUGCGGAAGGAUCAUUAAGGAAUUCAAAAUAUGGACGUGCAUUUGUUGUGUGUGAUAAUUUUAUGAGCCUGAGCGAGUUGUCAGAUAUUUUUAGUCAAACAAAACCUUCAACAACGGAUCUCUUGGUUCUC